CAGCCGCCGCGGUAAUACGAAGGGGGCUAGCGUUGCUCGGAAUUACUGGGCGUAAAGGGCGCGUAGGCGGCGCUCCAAGUUAGGCGUGAAAUUCCCGGGCUCAACCUGGGGACUGCGCUUAAGACUGGAGUGCUUGAGGAUGGAAGAGGGUUGUGGAAUUCCCAGUGUAGAGGUGAAAUUCGUAGAUAUUGGGAAGAACACCGGUGGCGAAGGCGGCAACCUGGUCCAUUACUGACGCUGAGGCGCGAUAGCGUGGGGAGCAAACAGGAUUAGAUACCCCGGUAGUCCUGUCUCUUAUACA
rnacentral:rRNA from 1 species